rnacentral:tRNA from 1 species
GGCCCUGUAGUGAAGUUCAUGGUGAGUUGCAAGCUCAUUGAUGUGCAUAGAUUAUGUACCGGGGCCU